GGUGGGGAGGGAGGGAAGGACGCAUCUGCAGGCCCCUUUGCAGCUUCACGAGGGAAGUGCCGGUGGUGUCCUGCAGGCAAGAAGAAGUACACAGAAGCGCAAGCCUGUCUAAGCUGUAUUGCAGCUCAUUGCGAGGAAGGCUUUAAGGAGCCCGGCCUGAGCUUGCCAGCACCUGGUGGCUUUGGGACCAGGGGGUCACUGCUGCCCCUGCAUCCAGGGAGCUCUGCCCUUGCUGCUGAUUGAUUUUUUGGGAUGGAUUCUGCCUGACGGGAAGCAGGAUCAGACCCGCUGGCUUCCCGUCAGAUUAAUGUGCGGGGAUGCGGGCUCUUUUGGUUAAGACUGUAAAGCCUGAGACAUUGUCUGCUCCUGACAGCUAUUACUGUAGCAGCGGCAUUUGGGGAGAGGAAUUUAUUGCCUGCCAAAUUUUUACUGUCACUUUACCGUCAAAAUGAUGUCAGUGCCAUCAAAAGGAACGCGUCUGCCUCUGCCUCUACCUUGGCCUCCCCUGUGAUAAGACAAAUAUUGCCGUGGCUGCCCAGGUGAACCAGAACUGGGAGCCGAUCUCGUUUGAGGCUAAUGAUGUUGUUACUGGUUUGGUUUUAGGCUUCGGGUGGCUGUGGAGCUGCUCAAGUGUCAUUGUCCAAAGUGGCUCGGAUUCAUCUGGAAAAAUCCUCCCAAGCGACUGCAUUGUAUUGUGCUGUACCAACAGGAACUUUAAUUCUGUAGGGUUUCAGAGACCCCCUAAAACGCAAAUUGAUCCAUCACCAACGUGUCCUGUCUCUAAUGUGUUGGUUAGGUUUGUCCCUUCGGUGUGUGCACUGUCACAGCUCCUGCCCCUGGGCACACCUGAAUCUACUGUCCCAAAGGUACCUUCCCUUUUCUUUAAUUUUAUUUUUUUAAAUAAAUUACAGCCUCCCUUGCCUUCCCCACAGCACUUCUCCCCACACCUGUGAUAAAACCGAGCGAUGGCCCUUCCACUCAGAGACACGGUUUUGGUUAUUUACAGACGAUCCUAACUGCGUGUCUUUACAACUAAACUCCAACCCUGCCCUUUUUUUUGCCCUUUUUUUUGCUGGUGAGUCAUCCUGGCAGGUCCUUUGCAUUAAGCUGCUCAAUUGUGGGCCAGUGGAAGCAACCUCCCUGUUGUUUUUUUUUUAAUUUACUGGGAAAUCUAUAACGAGUAGCUUGUAACUGACAAGAUAAGGGCUCUAAUUAGAUUAGUUUCUAAUUUCUAAAGUGCUCGGUGUAGAGAGCUAAGUUAGCUCAUUUUGUUCCCGAUGAGAUAGGAUCUGGUGGUCGUUCUCUUUAAUUUCAGCCAGCCCUUAGGUCCCUUCCAGCCCAAACCAUUCUCCGAUGAAAUUUGCAAGCUGCCUUGGUUUGAAAAGUGGAUGGGGAAUGUGUGGUUGUUCCCUGGCCAAAUGCUGGAGUUUGGGAUGGAGAUUUUCGUGUUCUGGGAAGCCCCUACCACAUUAGUUGCCCACUUCUUCACGUUCUCACCCUCCUAUUUAAAGAGUGACUCGAUGAAUUCAGUGGUUUCUUGUGACAUACCCACGACUUCAGCUCAUGCUGACUCUGUUUUUGUCACGAGUGCCCCCAGGAGAGCUCUGCCCAUCCCCAGGUCCCCUCCUCCCACCCCGCAGCCAGGUCCUCGGGCUGUGACACUGCUCAGUCCCACUUUGUGCCCACGCUGGAGGGGUGGCUGGGAUUUUACGAGUCAGUUUGUGCCGAAUUCAUGGCUGUUGGGGAGGACAAGUGUGAAACCACGCAGGGAAAGCCGGGAGCGUGUGUGUUUGCACUCGAUCCCCGUUAGGCGUUCAUCUCAUGUUCGAAUAUAUCCGCGUAGCUUGACUUAAGCAAAGAAACUCAUGGUGAAGCCUGAAAAUCUCUGCUGACACGCAGGCUUUAACCCAGGCGGUUGUGCCAAAAGAGCCAGAACAGGCUGAAUGGCCGGAGAUAAUGCCACGGUGUCAGCACGCAUUUUCAGCCUUGGCUGUGAAUUUCCUGGCUUUUGUGUACUGCAGCUAAACCCUGAUGUUAGCAGCCCACCUCCCCCUCCAAGUGAGUCCCCUCGCACAAAGAGAGGAGCAAAUCCCAGCAGUUUGCACCCUGCUGGGUGAUCCCAAGGGACGUGGGGAGCAGUGGCAUGGUCUGGGACCCUCUGUGAAACCUGCCCUGCUUCGGGUCCGUGGGGUCGUUCCUGGCCAGCAGUUCCCAGAACCAGAGGUUUACUUUGGGGAUCAAUGGCUGGAGCUAACAAGGCUCUGGGACUCAGAGUCGCUGCUAAUCUUGGUGCUCUUGCCAAUAGCAAAACAUCCACGUGCGCUAAAAAUCGCUCUUGGAGCUCGUUUGGUUGCGUUUUAAUAAAUGCAGGUGGCGAACCGACCAAUUUCCUAUUCGUGUCAACUGCCCGAUCUAAUUACUCUAGCAGCUUACCUGUUCCUAUAAACCUAUUCCUAUAACCCUAACCAUAUUCCUGUAACCAUUCUACCUGCUAAAAAGGCAGCAUCAUUUUGACAGCAGCAAAACAAGAAGACGAAUAUUGGAAAGAAC